UACGUAGGGGGCGAGCGUUAUCCGGAAUUAUUGGGCGUAAAGCGCGCGCAGGUGGUUUCUUAAGUCUGAUGUGAAAGCCCACGGCUCAACCGUGGAGGGUCAUUGGAAACUGGGAGACUUGAGUGCAGAAGAGGAAAGUGGAAUUCCAUGUGUAGCGGUGAAAUGCGUAGAGAUAUGGAGGAACACCAGUGGCGAAGGCGACUUUCUGGUCUGUAACUGACACUGAGGCGCGAAAGCGUGGGGAGCAAACAGG
rnacentral:rRNA from 1 species